GCAGGGGUGGCAGAGCUAGGUCAAGCUUUCAAUGGCCACAUGCGUAGGACUCAAGAUCCUAUGCCGUAGGGCUUCGUGGGUUCAAAUCCCACCCCCUGCA
rnacentral:tRNA from 1 species